rnacentral:rRNA from 1 species
UACAGAGGUCUCAAGCGUUGUUCGGAUUCAUUGGGCGUAAAGGGUGCGUAGGCGGCGCGGUAAGUCGGGUGUGAAAUCUCGGAGCUUAACUCCGAAACUGCAUUCGAUACUGCCGUGCUUGAGGACUGGAGAGGAGACUGGAAUUUACGGUGUAGCGGUGAAAUGCGUAGAUAUCGUAAGGAAGACCAGUGGCGAAGGCGGCGCACUGGACCACAUCUGACGCUGAGGCGCGAAAGCUAGGGGAGCAAACAGG